rfam:Kocuria polaris strain CMS 76or contig08, whole genome shotgun sequence.
CUUCAAGAGACCCGGUCGGCAAGCUCCGACUUGACCGGGCACCAACCCCAUGUUCACGGGUGGUUCGGAUGACGAAGCGGCUCGCAUCGCCGCAGCAGCGGUACCCGGUGCGAGCAAGAGCGCACG